ACUUUGCCGAUCAUUUUUGCUGUUUACAGUUUAUCUUUAUCUAUAAUAAUAUUCAAGAUAAUGACCAAAAACUGCAAAAUUUCCUUAAAAUUACUAAUUAAGUGGCAGCAACCCAACAAUGGUUUGUUUGAUUCAUCUGAAAAUAUCAGGGCUGAUAGAUCUUGACCUAAUGAACAUUUUUACCCCGAGUCAGAUUUGCUCUAAAUGCUUUCGUUUUUGAGAUAUAAGACAAAAACUGCAUUUGACCCCUAUGU
rnacentral:lncRNA from 1 species